UAACUGAUUUGGCAGAGAUGCCUUAGUGCCUUCGGGAACCGUGAGACAGGUGCUGCAUGGCUGUCGUCAGCUCGUGUUGUGAAAUGUUGGGUUAAGUCCCGCAACGAGCGCAACCCUUAUCCUUUGUUGCCAGCGAUUCGGUCGGGAACUCAAAGGAGACUGCCGGUGAUAAACCGGAGGAAGGUGGGGAUGACGUCAAGUCAUCAUGGCCCUUACGGCCAGGGCUACACACGUGCUACAAUGGCGCAUACAAAGAGAAGCGACCUCGCGAGAGCAAGCGGACCUCAUAAAGUGCGUCGUAGUCCGGAUUGGAGUCUGCAACUCGACUCCAUGAAGUCGGAAUCGCUAGUAAUCGUAGAUCAGAAUGCUACGGUGAAUACGUUCCCGGGUCUUGUACACACCGA
rnacentral:rRNA from 1 species